GAAUACUUUUGCAAGCCAUGUACGUGCUUCGGUGUUACUAAACCUGGCUGGUCCUGAGGCAAUGAAACGUGCGGAUCGUAUUACAUUUUAC